UACGGAAGGGGCAAGCGUUGUUCGGAAUCAUUGGGCGUAAAGGGCGCGUAGGUGGUUCUGUAUGUCUACCGUGAAAGCGUACGGCUCAACCGUAUUUAGUCGGUAGAAACUGCAGGACUUGAGGCUGGGAGGGGCUGGUGGAAUUCCCUGUGUAGCGGUGAAAUGCGUAGAGAUGGGGGAGAACACUCGUGGCGAAGGCGGUUCUCUGGGACGGUACUGACGCUGAGACGCGAAAGCGUGGGGAGCGAACAGG
rnacentral:rRNA from 1 species